GAAGCCUCUGGUGGGUUUAAAUCGCCUGGAGGCAGCAGAAAGGGCCGGGAGAUGCUUGGGAUUGUGCAGAGACCCCCGUGUUUUCCUUAAGACUGUGCUGUGCCAGGAAAUUCAAUGCAGCUGACAGAACCUUCUCUCAAAGUGUCUAUGACAUCGCUGUCUGACUCCAACUGGAUUCUGAAGUGAUCCCUGUAAGCAGCGAAUAUGUUACAUGUUUACAGAGGGCCAGAACAUCCUACUUUUGUAAACCGAUCUCUUAUUCAAUGGGACUACUCCAUUAAGAUAAGGAGUCAGCAGGCAGUGGGUCUAAGGCAUGCUGCCCUGCAGUGGAACACUGAGACUCAGGCUUCUAACCUGUGCCACAGAGACUUACCAUGGGCUGGAUGAAGUGACACAGUGGACCAGAUCCAGCCUGCAGCCCACAGAUUCCCUACCCCCGGUAAUAGGGAGACCUGGUAACAAGGGAAUAUGUGGAGGUACAGGGCCUCUGCACAGACAACAUUGGCCUCCUCUGGAUCUCCCCAGGAUCUACAGGGCUUUGGGACCAGACUUGGAGAAGAACAAGCAGCCCCUCUCUUUUCCUUGCCCAAAACAGCACCACCAAAAUGAUGAUGUGAUGGAAAUUCUUCAAGGGAAACUUUUUAGCACCUUCUUCUUUGGGGUUUUAGUGCAGGAGCAGGUAAUCCUUCCCAUUGCCCAUGGAUUACAUACUUUUCCAAUUUACAUGUAUGUAUG